rnacentral:rRNA from 1 species
AUUGAACGCUGGCGGCAGGCCUAACACAUGCAAGUCGAGCGGCUCAGCAGCCGGGUGAGUGAUGCCUAGGUAUCUGCCUGUUCCUGAGGGAUAACGUUCAGUACCGGGCGCUAAUACCGCAUCCUCUCAGAUUCGCAUCGGUCGGUUUAGCUAGUUGGUGGGGUAAAGGCCUACCAAGGCGACGAUCCGUAACUGGUCUUAGAGGAUGAUCAGUCACACUGGAACUGAGACACGGUCCAGACUCCUACGGGAGGCAGCAGUGGGGAAUAUUGGACAAUGGGCGAAAGCCUGAUGCAGCCAUGCCGCGUGUGUGAAGAAGGUCUUCGGAUUGUAAAGCACUUUAAGUUGGGAGGCGUUACCAAAAGAAGAAGCACCGGCUAACUCCGUGCCAGCAGCCGCGGUAAUUC